GUCUACGGCCAUGCUACCCUGAACAAGCCUGAUCCCGUCUGAUCUCAGAAGCUAAGCAGGGUUGGGCCUGGUUAGUACUUGGAUGAGAGACCACUUAGGAAGACCAGGUGCUACAGGCA
rnacentral:rRNA from 1 species